rnacentral:rRNA from 1 species
AACGCGAAGAACCUUACCUGGCCUUAACAUCCUGCGAACUUUCUAGAGAUAGAUUGGUGCCUUCGGGAGCGCAGAGACAGGUGCUGCAUGGCUGUCGUCAGCUCGUGUUGUGAAAUGUUGGGUUAAGUCCCGUAACGAGCGCAACCCUUGUCCUUAGUUGCCAUCAUUUAGUUGGGGACUCUAAGGAGACUGCCGGUGACAAACCGGAGGAAGGCGGGGACGACGUCAAGUCAUCAUGGCCCUUACGAGUAGGGCUACACACGUGCUACAAUGGCAAGUACAGAGGGCCGCGAAGCCGCGAGGUGGAGCUAAUCUCACAAAGCUUGUCGUAGUCCGGAUUGGAGUCUGCAACUCGACUCCAUGAAGUCGGAAUCGCUAGUAAUCGCAAAUCAGAAUGUUGCGGUGAAUACGUUCCCGGGUCUUGUACACACCG